UGAAUGAUUAUUACAAAAAAUUUUCCUACAAACAUGUGUUUUGUGAGAGCUUGAGAAUUGUGGAGAGCAAUCCCUAGGAGAGGGAAGCGGAUCACCCACCAACCUCAGAGAAGUCCGGGUUCGUGGUUAGUUUCUUUCUUGCCUUCCUCCCCUUUUCCCCCUCCCUUCCUUAGCACCCACGGUUUCCCUUCAAAGCCCCAUCGCCGGCCACCUUCAUAACCCCAUCGCCGGCCACCCAAAGGCCCACCAUCCCCACCGUCAGCCACCCUCCCCACCACCACCACAAACCACCGGCCCUCCCUUACCCAUCCAACCGCCGGCCCCCCAUCCUUUCCUUUUCAAGAUUAUUUCCUAAAGCUUCACUUUCCUUAUUUAACUCAACCUAUCUUUGGAGGGAAUUUGAAUUGAAAUAAGUCAAAUUUAAUUCUCAAUUCUUUCCUAUUUCCUUAAUCUUAUUUUUGGAAAGGUCCUUAAUUAAAUCAAUUAAUUCAAAUCUGAAUUAAUUGAUUAGAAUCCUUUAUAUUUCAUUAAUCCUAUUUUUGGAAAGGUCUUCAAUCAAACCAAUUAAUUCAAAUCUGAAUUAAUUGAAUAUUUAAUACCUUAAAUUCAAAUACAUUGAAUCUAGACACAUGCCCCCUUCCUCUCUCCACAUUAAUUCCCCACCCAGCCCUAAGAACCCAAAGCCAAAUAUCAUCUCCCCUUACCUUGGCCGCCCCUAUCCCUUGCUUUCUGCAAUUUCUCGUCAGUGAUCCCAGUAAGGUUAGCUUGCUUCCAGGUGAUUCCAGAAGACUGUGUGCGAUUGUCCAAGGCAUCCCGUAGUGCAUAGUUGCUGUCCGACCUUCCCAGGACUUUGUUAAACUGCUGUCAAGCAGAUCCCUGUACUUCCACACCUGUUGUCCAGCCCCAGAACUCACCCUAUCGCUGUCCAGAUUUUUUUCCGGUUGCUGUUUGGAGUUUCCAGCACCUAAAACCUGCUGUCCAAAAGUCUUCAACCCAAAGGAUCUAGUCAUACCAUUGCCUAAUUCCCCAAAGUGCUGUCCAGAAUUUUCCCACAGCAAAAUACCUUGAUGUCCAGAAAUUUAUUGCACGCUACAUUUCUGUUCAGACAUCCGGAAUCAAUCCAGAACUGUUGCAGGCUCGUUCUAAAGGUGCAAGUUGCUUUCCUCUCUUCAUUGGCCCCAAACAACAUCACCAAAGCCUAGUAUUUUCUUACCUUGAUGUUUCUAUAUUGGUUUUUUGUCCACGUGAAGCCAUCUUAAUUGUAACUUUCGAUAUGAUUACACUGCAAAGUCCAAUUAUGGGAAUAGUGGAUAUCAUGACUAGGGUGAGCUGCCACCCUUGCGCAAAUGCAACGACAAAGCCCGUGAAGAAUGUAGAUGUUUGCCCAAUGAACUUUCCAACCUGCAAAUUGCAACUUGGCCCUCCACAAAUGAUGUCAUGCAUGGAGAUGCCUGUUCUAUAGAGCUAAUGAUAAUCAUGGGAUUAGCAUAUCCAUGUGUAGAAAAACGAGGCAUUGCAUAACAAAAUAGGAGGGAUGGUGGAAAUCAUGACUAAGGUGAGAAGCCAGCCUUUAAUAAAUGCAACUACGAAGCUAAGGAAGAAUACUGACGUUAGCUCAAUGAUCUUACCAACCUGCAAAAAACAUAAAUAGUAAAAGAAUCACCAACACCCAUAUAUUGGAUUGCAAUGUCUUUGUUCAAUUAACAGUUUUUUUGUAAUCUUUUCACCCAUGGCAUCUUGGAUAAGGAUGAUGUCCACUGACAUCCUCUCUACAACUUCCCCUGUAUUUAUGUGACUAUCAAAGAAUGCAAUCUCUUGAUUUAAUAAGGCAUUUAAGUAUAAUUUUCUUA